UGAUUGUAUGAAGGUUCAGUGUC
rnacentral:piRNA from 1 species